GGCUUCCCCGCCCGGAGACCGCCAUGAUGGCGAGGCCAGCACGGCUCUGCGGCUCCGGGGAGGGGGCUCUCGGCGGCGCUCUCUGAGACCCCCGGCCGCCUCGUCGGCCUCUGGUGCGGCUCGGCAGCGCUGGCCGGGGCCCGGACCAGGAGGGCAACCGGCUGAGCAAGUCGCGGACGCGGCGGCGAAGUGGUUCAUGCCGCCCAAGAUGGUUGCUAAUCCGAAGGAGCCCUCCGCUCGGAGCCGAGCGCGGGGAACUGAGACCUCCGCUCCAAAGCGGCUCCCCCACAUUUUACUCGGCGCGCCUUUGCGUAGUCGCCUCGACCCCUCUCUGAAAUGCGCUUUGUUUCUCUGUUUCAAAGCCCCAACCAGAUCUGUAAACGGGGAACUUUGGUACAAAGCAAUAUGGUAAUUUAUUCUCUCGUUCCUUAGACCAACAUUUCUAAAGGGCCCCUUUCCGUACUGGAUGCUGUUAUGGGUGCUCCGAAGUGCACCUGUUAGCAAACCAAGGCUCUAUUUAAUAAAAAUAAAAAAGUAAGUUCUU
rnacentral:lncRNA from 1 species